AUCACCUGGGGAUCUUGUUAAAACGCAGGCUCUGAUUCAGGCCGUCUGGAUGGGGCCUGAGAGUCCACAUUUCUAACAAGUUCCCCGGUGAUGUUGU
rnacentral:pre_miRNA from 1 species